rnacentral:rRNA from 3 species
GAACGACUCUCGGCAACGGAUAUCUCGGCUCUCGCAUCGAUGAAGAACGUAGCGAAAUGCGAUACUUGGUGUGAAUUGCAGAAUCCCGUGAACCAUCGAGUCUUUGAACGCAAGUUGCGCCCCAAGCCUUUAGGCCGAGGGCACGUCUGCCUGGGUGUCACGCAUCGCCGCCCCCAAACCCCCCUCCAGGGGAUCGUUGGGCGGGCGGAAACUGGCCUCCCGUGCGCUCCCCGCUCGCGGUUGGCCCAAAUUCGAGCCCUUCGGUGACCGUGCCGCGACGAUCGGUGGUGAGAAGAGACUAUCGAGAUCCCGUCGCGUGCUUGCGUCCUCGUUUUAAGGGCUCGCGGACCCUUUGAGCGCCUCCCGGUUCCGGGCGCCGCUCACUCUGCGACCCCAGGUCAGGCGGGAAUACCCGCUGAGUUUAAGCAUAUCAAUAAGCGGAGGAAAAGAAACUUACCAGGAUUCCCCUAGUAACGGCGAGCGAACCGGGAAGAGCCC